GCCGUGGCUCAGUGGUAGAGCAUCUGCUUUGCAUUCAGAAGCUCCCAGGUGCAAUCCCUGGCAGCUUCA